AACAAGUAUUGCAGAGAUCUUUUGUGAAUUGAAAAAUUUUUUGUCAGAAAAAAAAUCCAAAUUUUUCUCAUUCAAAAUUUAUAUCUCGGCCUGAAACCAACAUCUAAAUUUCCGUUGUAACCGAAAUAAUCCAUUAAAAUCUCAUUAUGUGCUGCGGUCCCUGUUAUGGCUCUUGCUGUAGUCCCUGCUGCAGCCCAUGCUGUAGCCCGUGUUGCAGUCCUUGUGGACCCUGCUGUGGUCCCUGUGGCUCGUGCUGUGGUCCUUGUGGACCAUGUGGAUCCUACUGUGGCGGUUGCUAGACGUCUCUAUGCCGCUUUUUCCCAAUUCAGCUUCUGGGAUUUCGAGUGCCAAUAAUUAAAGCGGUUAAUUGGUAGAGAGCAUUAAACGGACUCAAAGAAUUCUUAUUACCUGGGAUCCCGCUCAAAAGCAGCUUUUCGGAACAUCUUUACGAAAGCUUUAACAACGGACCGAUUCCUAUCUACGCGGCCUUAAAAAACAAAUGUAUUUUGCCAUUUAAGAUUCUUUUCGGUUGAUUUUUCUUUUUUCUUUUUAAUAAAGGUUUAAUCGCUUUUAUUAAAACA